rnacentral:rRNA from 1 species
UACAGAGGGUGCGAGCGUUAAUCGGAAUUACUGGGCGUAAAGCGUGCGUAGACGGUUUCGUAAGUCGGGUGUGAAAUCCCCGGGCUCAACCUGGGAAUUGCAUUCGAAACUGCGAGGCUAGGGUACGGAAGAGGGAAGCGGAAUUUCUGGUGUAGCGGUGAAAUGCGUAGAUAUCAGAAGGAACAUCAGUGGCGAAAGCGGCUUCCUAGUCCAGUACCGACGUUCAGGCACGAAAGCGUGGGGAGCAAACAGG